CGGGGGAGCCCCGCGGCCCCUCACCUGGCCCCCCACACGGCGCCCCCAAGAUCUGGAGGGCUCCGGAGCCACGGAAGCAGCUCUGUCGAGGACAGGCGGGCGCCCCGGAGGAGGGGCGCAGGCAGCCCAAAAUGCGGCCCUCGCUGCCCUUGUUGCCCAGCCCGCCCAGCUAUGGAAAACAAAAGUUGUGCAAAGCGGCGCCUUCGUGGAUUCGCUCGGCGAGCAGUCAGAGAGGGUCCCGUCGGUCCCAGAUAUCGCCCUGGGCGCGCUGGGCAUGCGGCUGUAGCAAGGGCAUGCCCUGGCCCUGAGGGACCUCGUUGGACCCUGGACGGAGCCCCAGCCCUGGGGACGCUCAGGCAGGUGCCGCGUCCGGAGGGGGAGACGCUGCAAAAAAGGACCGGGAGUUCGUGUUGGCAGAUGGCCGCCUUGUUUGAAACCGAGGCUAGGUGUGUAUGUGUCACUGUAUAAGCGUUUGUCAUCUUGUGAACGGGGCUGUGCUACUCAUUGGAAUCACCAUCUUGUAGGAUCACCGCCCAUUGGCAAAGGCUGUCAUAUCACGUCGAGCAGAAACUCAGCCCUCCUUCAGCAAGAACUUCUGUCUCCCCCUCUCACUGGUCACCACUAAUAAACUUUGUUUCCGG